AUGAAACUUUUUUGGAAACAAGUGUUGUACUUGUAUACAAAGUUUCGCCAAGGAAUGACUUCAAUGUAUUCCGGGCAGAAAAAAAAAUCGAAUGCUAUGUACUCCCUCCGUCCGGAAAUACAUGUCAUUGAAAUAGAUGCAUCUAGAUAUAUUUUAGUUCUAGAUACAUCCAUUUUCAUCUAUUUUGAUGACAAGUAUUUCCGGACGGAGGGAGUAGUUCAUGCUAUUUGUCCUCGUUUUUUCCCCCUGAAGUCAACACAAGUUAUUUCUUGGCGAAACUUUUUACACGAGUACAAUACUUGA
rnacentral:rRNA from 1 species